UACGACGGGGGCUAGCGUUGUUCGGAAUUACUGGGCGCAAAGCGCACGUAGGCGGAUCGAUCAGUCAGGGGUGAAAUCCCAGGGCUCAACCCUGGAACUGCCUUUGAUACUGUCGAUCUGGAGUAUGGAAGAGGUGAGUGGAAUUCCGAGUGUAGAGGUGAAAUUCGUAGAUAUUCGGAGGAACACCAGUGGCGAAGGCGGCUCACUGGUCCAUUACUGACGCUGAGGUGCGAAAGCGUGGGGAGCAAACAGG
rnacentral:rRNA from 1 species